rnacentral:rRNA from 1 species
CCUACGGGGGGCUGCAGUGGGGAAUAUUGCGCAAUGGGGGGAACCCUGACGCAGCGACGCCGCGUGAAGGAAGAAGGUCUUCGGAUUGUAAACUUCUUUGGUCGGGGACGAAGAAAUGACGGUACCCGAUAAAAAAGCCACGGCUAACUACGUGCCAGCAGCCGCGGUAAUACGUAGGUGGCAAGCGUUGUCCGGAAUUACUGGGUGUAAAGGGCGUGUAGGCGGGGAUGCAAGUCAGAUGUGAAAUCCCGCGGCUCAACCGUGGAACCGCAUCGGAAACUGUCGUCCUUGAGUAUCGGAGGGGAAAGCGGAAUUCCUAGUGUAGCGGUGAAAUGCGUAGAUAUUAGGAGGAACACCGGUGGCGAAGGCGGCUUUCUGGCCGAAAACUGACGCUGAGGCGCGAAAGCGUGGGGAGCAAACAGGAUUAGAUACCCUUGUAGUC